rnacentral:rRNA from 1 species
UACGAAGGGGGCUAGCGUUGCUCGGAAUCACUGGGCGUAAAGGGCGCGUAGGCGGCCAUUUAAGUCGGGGGUGAAAGCCUGUGGCUCAACCACAGAAUUGCCUUCGAUACUGGAUGGCUUGAGACCGGAAGAGGUAAGUGGAACUGCGAGUGUAGAGGUGAAAUUCGUAGAUAUUCGCAAGAACACCAGUGGCGAAGGCGGCUUACUGGUCCGGAUCUGACGCUGAGGCGGCGAAAAGCGUGGGGAGCAAACAGG